AGUGAACGCUGGCGGUAGGCCUAACACAUGCAAGUCGAACGGCAGCACAGUAAGAGCUUGCUCUUACGGGUGGCGAGUGGCGGACGGGUGAGGAAUACAUCGGAAUCUACUUUUUCGUGGGGGAUAACGUAGGGAAACUUACGCUACUACCGCAUACGACCUACGGGUGAAAGCAGUGGAUCUUCGGACCUUGCGCGAUUGAAUGAGCCGAUGUCGGAUUAGCUAGUUGGCGGGGUAAAGGCCCACCAAGGCGACGAUCCGUAGCUGGUCUGAGAGGAAGAUCAGCCACACUGGAACUGAGACACGGUCCAGACUCCUACGGGAGGCAGCAGUGGGGAAUAUUGGACAAUGGGCGCAAGCCUGAUCCAGCCAUACCGCGUGGGUGAAGAAGGCCUUCGGGUUGUAAAGCCCUUUUGUUGGGAAAGAAAAGCAGCAGGUUAAUACCCCGCUGUUCUGACGGUACCCAAAGAAUAAGCACCGGCUAACUUCGUG
rnacentral:rRNA from 1 species